UGCGUAGGCGGGCUGAUAAGUCAGUGGUGAAAACCUUCAGCUUAACUGGAGACUUGCCAUUGAUACUGUUAGUCUUGAGUACGGUCAAGGUAGGCGGAAUGUGUAAUGUAGCGGUGAAAUGCUUAGAUAUUACACAGAACACCGAUUGCGAAGGCAGCUUACUGGGCCAUUACUGACGCUGAGGCACGAAAGCGUGGGGAGCGAACAGGAUUAGAUACCCUGGUAGUCC
rnacentral:rRNA from 1 species